UGGCGAACGGGUGAGUAACGCGUGAGGAACCUGCCUCAAAGAGGGGGACAACAGUUGGAAACGACUGCUAAUACCGCAUAAGCCCACGGGUCGGCAUCGGCCAGAGGGAAAAGGAGCAAUCCGCUUUGAGAUGGCCUUGCGUCCGAUUAGCUAGUUGGUGAGGUAACGGCCCACCAAGGCGACGAUCGGUAGCCGGACUGAGAGGUUGAACGGCCACAUUGGGACUGAGACACGGCCCAG
rnacentral:rRNA from 1 species